UCUUCACAGGUGGCUGUUAGCUCUAAAUGAACUCAUUUAUUUUGAAAGCAUGAUUUAAAGUAUAGUUUUAAACUAUAAGCAUUUCAGAAGUGAUGACCCAUGACUCAAAUCUCAAAAAUAAAUGCUACAGUUCACAGUUGGAAUAUGGACACAAGAAAAAUAAUAGGUGAUGCCACUGAAAGGUAAACAUACCAUUCUGACAUGCAUGAAAAUGAAACGACAAAUUGAUACACGCAGUGCUUGGAAUGGAUGGAGUCCUUCUAAUGAGUGAUUACCUGUGGUAUAACUAUAUUGAUUGUGUUUGUACAUGUCAAAUGGGGCUGGCGAGGAUGAACUUGA
rnacentral:lncRNA from 1 species